rnacentral:misc_RNA from 1 species
GAUGAAGAACGUAGCGAAAUGCGAUAAGUAAUGCGAAUUGCAGAAUUCAGUGAGUCAUCGAAUCUUUGAACGCACAUUGCGCCCUGUGGUAUUCCGCAGGGCAUGCCUGUUCGAGCGUCAUUUCAACCCUCAAGCUCUGCUUGGUGUUGGGCUCUGCCCGCUGCGGCCGGCCCUAAAGACAGUGGCGGUGCCGCCUGGCCCUGAGCGUAGUACAUCUCUCGCUCCAGUGCCCGGUGGUAGCCUGCCAGAACCCCAACUCUCGUGGUUGACCUCGGAUCAGGUAGGGAUACCCGCUGAACUUAAGCAUAUCAAUAAGCGGAGGA